UGGCGGCCAUGUCACAUCGAAACACCGCUUCCCGUACGAUCACUGAAAUUAAACAACGUCGAUCCCGGUCAGUACCCUAGAUGGGUGACCGUUUGGGAAUGUUUG